UACGUAGGGUGCAAGCGUUGUCCGGAAUAUUGGGCGAAAGAGCUCGUAGGCGGUCUGUCACGUCGGCUGUGAAAUCCCGAGGCUCAACCUCGGGUCUGCAGUCGAUACGGGCAAACUAGAGUAUGCAGGGGAGAUGGAAUUCCUGGUGUAGCGGUGAAAUGCGCAGAUAUCAGGAGGAACACCGGUGGCAAAGGCGGGGUCUCUGGGCAAUAACUGACACUGAGAAGCGAAAGCAUGGGGAGCAACAG
rnacentral:rRNA from 1 species